UGGUAAAUUUCUAUACUAAUGGUUUGUGAAGUACAAAAGCAUCAUAUUCAGAUAGCUUGCAUCAAAUAGGUGUUUAUUCAGAGAACAUGUGCGCACAACUACAUGAUUGUGCGUUGAUUCAGAUAACAUGAGCAUUGAGGUCAAACUCAACAUGCGUUGAUUCAUAUAACAGUUCCUAAAAUCUUUCAUUUAAGUGCUUCAGCGGUUGUCAGAUUAUUUGUGCUCAAGCCAUGACGAAAAAAUGAGCUCAAUAUUCCCAUCACAUAUUAACUAGUCAACUUCCAAGAGAUUAGAACUCAGUGCACAUGCACAAGGAUCACACUUGACGUUGAACCGGUAUGGGCCCUGCCCAUCUGUCUUAGGCCCAUAUGGCCCAACCCAUGUGCUAGACCUAGAAGAAGAGGACCUGGGCGUUGUCUCCCCUUGAGCGCCGCUGCAUGAACACAUGAACACGAGCUGGUACGCUACCUCUCCUGAUUCUACAUGGUAUCAGAGCCAGGUUCGACGGGGCUUGACAGUGACAGGACAACGGUGACGGCUGGCGGGGCGACAGGGUCCGGCAGAGAUCGUCGACGGUCCUUGGCGCCGAAGAAGUGGUGGCCGUGCACGCGCGGAGAAGCGGCUGUGCGUUCGGGCUGUGGAAGGAAGAGGAGGAGGUGAGACUGUAUACGACGAUAAGGCAACAAAGGAGGAAGAGAAGGAAGAUUGGGCAGUAGAGGAGGAUGAGGAAAGGAGGCUGCCUGUGCUACUGCUGGGUGUAGGUGCUGAGAGUGUUGUUGCUUGCUGCUGUUGCUGCGCGGUAGGAAGAAAAAGGUGGUGCUGGUGCUGUGUGGACGUGAGAGCAGAGGUGCUUGCUGCUGCGGCUGACUGGGGAGGCAGGUUGAGUUGCUUGUUGCUGCUGCUGAUUGGCAAGGGAAGAGGAGGCCAAAAGGACUUGCCGAGGUGUCGAGCAGCUCACUAGGUUCCUCUCGGGCUCGAACUCUGGGGCUAUCGUUCCUCGGUAGGAAGUGGCUCAGAAGAUCGAGUUGUCACCCACGGACAUCAAGCUAGAGGGGGCUACCAAUUAUCUGAGCUGGUCUCGAAGGGCAUCGCUGGCUGUGGAGCAGAAGGAGCUUCAUGGGCACUUGUUGGGUUAAAGAACCAGGAGACAAGGCUAGUGCAGAGGGAAAGAGGUGGAAGGCAUCAACUCUAUGCUUAUUGGGUGGUUGUUGAACUCCGUGGUGCCCUCUGUUGGACGCUUGGACGCUCUGUGGAGGGGCUAUCCACAUCUAUCGAGAUAUGGAAGACUCUGUCCACCCAGUACUCCGGGAAGGGCAGUGUCAUGCUCAUUGAUCAGAUCGAUGGGAAGAUUAGUCGGCUGUCACCAAGAUGACAUGUCAGUGAUGGCAUAUGUGGCAGGCCUACAGACUUUGUGGGCAGACCAGGAUAACCGUGAUCCUCUAAAACUCUAUGAUGCGGUUGGCAUCAAGUCAGGGCACAAGUGGAUGGCACGCAGGCGUGUGCUAAAACUUUUGGCGGGCCUCACAGGAUGCUUUGAUGGCAGGAAUGCAUCCCUGUUGCACUAAGCUCUCAUGUCCAGUGUUGAUGAGGCUACUACAACGAUGACUUAAGAGGAGGUGCGGCAAUCUCUUUAGAUUGAAGACCUGAAGGCUGUGCCGGCUUCGACAUUUGCAGUCACUGAUCGCACAGAGUGGAAAGAUUCGACGGUCUGUUAAACCUAUGGAGAGGUAGGUCACCUGAAGUGGGAAUGUCCUGGUAAAGGCAUGGGAUAUAAUAGAGGGGAAAGUGGCAAAGGCAGGACUGCUAGAGGCAGAGUUGGAUACUCGGGUACCUUAGGGGGUCAGACUGCUAGGGGCAGAGUUGGACUCGGGAAAGUUAGGGGUUCAAAGGGCGUACAUGCCAGUUGAAGGGGACAAUGGGACGUCAAAGGGCGAAGAAGUAGAUGCUGCUGCCUAUGAAGACUUUGCUCACUGCCUCCAUUGAUGAAGGAGCGACAGACAAGGCAGGCGAUUGGGAAUGGCCACAUACUUGAUCAACCGGACACCUUCCAGGAUACUAGGCAUGCAAUUCCCAAGUGAGUUGUUUGGAGAAAAUAAGUUUGUCGUCCCUCCAAAGUUAUUUGGCUGUGCAUGUUUUGUUCGGAAUCAUAGACCAUCAGUUGGAAAAUUGGACCCACGAACAGUGAAAUGUGUUUAUGAUUAUUCCUCUAUCAGCAGGGGUACACGUGUUGGGAGUCCCUCUGCAAAACACAUGUUUGUAAGUAUGGAUAUCACCUUCAGUGAGUCUGAGCCAUUCUGUGGUUAGCCGAUUGAUCCAACUCCAUUGUUUGCAGAGCUUGGCCACCUAUACUCUGUGAAAGAUGGAUAUGUCCCUUACUCAGGGUGAUUAUGUGCGCACUAACACUAAUGAUGAUGUGCAGGUUCAGGUCCAACCAAUGGUGGGUACAAUUUUGACUGGUACUCGAGAAUUGCCGCGAAGUACACAAAUGGCAGUGGCACCCACACGACCUUUAGCCGAGACCCUUUGCUUGAGCUGCCUGUGUAUACGGCCCACCGGGAAUUGAAUCCCGAUGUGGGAGGAGUGGGACACAUGCUUUCUUCUUGUCCUUGUCCUUGUUGUCGGCGCCCUUGGCCGCCAUCUUCUUCGGCGCAAGCAACCCCUUGCCUCCCUUCCUGGCCAUCUCCCUUAGCAGUAGAGCCCCUUGCCUCCCUUCACUUAUAACACUCACUCUUAGCAAACAACAAAAGCAGAAACACACUCCUUGUCCUUGUCCUUGUCGUUGGUGCCCUUGGCCGCCAUCUUCUUCGCCACAAGCAGCUCAUUGCCUCCCUUCCUCGUCAUCUCCCUUAGCAGCAGAGCCCCUUGCCCCCCUUUAGUUAUGACACUCACUCUCAGCAAA